rnacentral:rRNA from 1 species
GUCUACGGCCAUGCUACCCUGAACAAGCUCAAUCCAGUCUGAUCUCGGAAGCUAAGCAGGGUCGGGCCUGAUUAGUACCUGGAUAGGAGACCACCUAGAAAGACCAGGUGCUAGAGGCA